UACGGGGGGGGCAAGCGUUGUUCGGAAUUACUGGGCGUAAAGGGCGCGUAGGCGGCCAUCUAAGUCAGACGUGAAAUCCCUCGGCUCAACCGAGGAACUGCGUCUGAUACUGGAAGGCUUGAAUCCGGGAGAGGGAUGUGGAAUUCCAGGUGUAGCGGUGAAAUGCGUAGAUAUCUGGAGGAACACCGGUGGCGAAGGCGGCAUCCUGGACCAACACUGACGCUGAGUGAGCGAAAGCCAGGGGAGCAAACAGG
rnacentral:rRNA from 1 species